AUGGUAGUUGUACAUGCUCCGAUGGUCAGGGUCGGUAGAGGUACUCGCGGUAUUGACGACAGUCGUACACGCAGAACAGAGGUCUCAGUUGCGGUCAUGAUCUUAAGGAGGUCAACAGGAUCUGGGCCAGAGGAGCUGGCAGCGCUCGGCCUUGGCAAGGCUGACAUCAGGCCGCGUGGCCCACAUGCGAAUAGUGAGGGCGAGGAGGCAGCCCUAGGCGCGGUCGAUGUAGGCGUCCUUGCUACGCUCCUAAUCCUGCUCGAUGCAGAGAGUUGCGGGGGCGGCGCCUGCAGUUGCAGGGAGGCAACGACGCGCAUAGGGAAGGCCGACGAGGACUUGGCGCGACAGAGCUCUCCAGUGAAGCAGCAGGGUCGUCGGGCAGCGCGCGGGACCACGAUGAGGAUGCGAGGGAGAGGAGCGGCGCAAGGCGGCGACCUCCUGGUGGUCGCCGACGGCGGCGGGUGGCGAUGGGCCACCGGAGCGGGCGGUGGCCGGACGGGUCACGGAGGAGAUGGUCUGGUGGUCGCGGCCUGGUUCUGCGGGAUCCAUGGCAGCUGCGGGUGUGCCGGCGCUGGUGGGAGAAGGAGGCGGGGCAGGGACGCGCGACGGCGAGGGUGCGUGGCCAUGGGGAUCGGGAUCCCCCUCCUGGUCGCGCUGAGAGGUGAGGGAGGGAGCGAGAGGAGGGAGGAGCGAGAGGAAGAGGGAGGUUGGCGGCGCUGUGGGAGGGAGAUGGGGAUCGAGGGAGAGAUGGGCUAG
rnacentral:rRNA from 1 species